rnacentral:lncRNA from 1 species
CGCCACCCUCCUCUCGCGCUCGAGGGCACUUUCUGCCGCCCACAAUCAUGGGCACGCUGGAGCUCCAACCACCACCCACCACCAGACCAUCCGAGCUCGACGAUGCCGUCAAUGAGGACGACCUCUCACCCAUCGAGGAGGUCCGCCUCACCGUGACCAACACCGACGACCCCACCUUGCCUGUCUGGACCUUCCGCAUGUGGUUCUUGGGCCUCCUCUCGUGUGCCCUCCUCUCUUUCAUCAACCAGUUCAUGGCCUUCCGAACUGAGCCCCUCAUCGUCACCCAGAUCACUGUCCUGGUCGCCACGCUCCCCAUUGGCCGCUUCAUGGCCGCGGCACUGCCCAAGGCCAAGUUCCGGAUCCCCGGGUUCGGGUCCCAGCUCUUCUCGCUCAACCCUGGCCCGUUCAACUUGAAGGAACACGUGCUCAUCUCCAUAUUCGCCAAUGCUGGAUCCGGGACGGCUUAUGGCAUCGGGAUUGUGACCAUCAUCAAGGCGUUUUAUCACCGAAGCAUUUCGUUCUUUGCCGGAUGGCUUCUCAUCAUCACGACGCAGGUCAGUUUAUUCAUUUUUCUUUUAUUCUCUUUCGAAAUUCAAUAGAUAAAACCUAUCAUCAGCUGCUUGACUCGUAAAUGUUCAAUCCUCGGGUUUCUCCUUCUCGCCUUUUGCAAGGGAGUAGCUGAGAAAAGAGAGACGUAUGACGAGUUAGCUUAUGAACAUCAUAAAUUUUGCCACUUGAUGCGUACUUUCAUAGGCAGUAUUAAUUUCUUGCGGUUCAAUGAAUGCCGCCCGCAAUUAUAAAUUACAUAGAUCGGUCGAAUUAUCUUUUCCGUCCAUGAGCAAGGUUGUUCUAUCGACUACUUCCUCAACAACAAUAAAUGCACCUGUAAGACUAAGAAAAAAGAAGAAAAAACAAAAGAUAGCUAGACAAGAUCACUCCUACAGAACCAUCGGAGUCAACACAAGUUUCCAUUUCGUGCAGGGAAUCGAACAAGUCAAAUAUAAAUUGCAUCAUGAAAAUAAAGAUUGAUUUGUUUACUGUACUUCGUAGGUGUAAUUACGGUGCUUCACUCGUUCUAAUUUUCGUUUAGAUAUUACUUUUUUCAUGAUGCUCCGAAUCGUCCUUGCCCAUUUUGAAGUGAAGAUUGAUAAUAUCUGAACAUAUCAUGAGAAAUGCACAGUAUCUAUUGGAAACUGUCGUGAUCCUUGUGCUGGAAUCGUUAAACGGCACGGCAAUCUCGAACACUAGGGUAAAUUGUGAAACUUAGAUGUAGAGAAACAAGACGGUAACUCGUGAAGUGGAGCUGGAGAUGGGUGGUGAACCCUGUUAAUGGUGGAAUUGGAUAUAUGCAGGUGUUGGGAUACGGAUGGGCAGGGCUAUUGAGGAAAUACGUGGUGGAACCAGCUCACAUGUGGUGGCCUUCUGCCCUCGUCCAAGUCUCCUUUUUCCGGUGAAUUACCACUCUUUUGCCUCCCCUUCCUUGCUUUCUUAUCAGAAUUCGCGUGAAAACAGAAGGAGAUAUAACUGGUGGGAGUUAAGUGUUCCGUGGAGAUGAUGCUAAUGGCAAGAUAGCAUAGACAGAGAAAGACCCAACAUGAGUAGAACUAGUUACUACCUAUGUAGUAUAGACACUCUUCGGAAGUCUUCGUGUCGUGUCCGACACUCCGACACGUAUUUAACACGCUCUAACACGCGGUCAACAAGUGUCAAAAUAUCCAACACGUGGUCAACUCUCUCCGACAUGCUCUGACACGUGAGUCUAGAAUUCCGACACGCGAUUCCGACACGUACAGGGUCAAUUUUAAAAAUUUCUAAUACUUGAGGGGUCAAAAUAUAAAUAUACACAAAAGAAGUAAUAAAAGAAGUAAUAAAAUUGUUAUAAAUAUACACGCAAGGGUCAAUUUUUUUUUUCAGUUUUGUUUUUUUAUAAUUGUUUUAGUUUUUUUUAAAAAAGUCUUUUACUAUGAAAGAAGUAAUAAAAAAUGCUAUAUAUGAUAAAUAAAUAAAUUUAAAAAUAUCAUUUCAUCAUUUUUCUUUAAACAAUAUUUUUUUCUCUAAGUUUUAUGUAUUACUGUAACAAAUUAAAAUAAUGAAUGAUAUUAUUUAAUAUUAUUUGUGUAAAUUAAUUCUAUGCUAUUAUUAUUAUUAUUAUUAUUAUUAUUAUUAUUAUUAUUAUUUAUGUAUUUAUAUAUUAUUAUUAUUUAUGUAUUUAUAUAUAAAAAUAUAUUUAAUGUAUAACGUAUUGGAACGUGUCGAAAUUCUCUAUUUUUAAAAAAUGAUGUGUCGGUAUAUCUUGUCGUGUCGUGUCGUGUCGUGUCGUGUAUCGUGUAUUCAUGUCGGUGCUACGUAGGUUACUACACUGACGUUGCGUUGAUUCGACUGGAGCUCAGACUCUUCCUUUUUUCUAACUCCCACUACAAGGUCACUUGAAUACGAAAACCAUACCAUGAAAACCCACGUCUUGUCACUGUCAGAAGAAGCCCACGAUCCGUGAAUGUGGAUUAGGAUUUCUCGGAUUGUCUACUUUGCUUUGGACGCCUUAGGAUCACUGCUUUUUCUUCUACUCGAUUCCUUUGUCUUGUCACGGCAACUUGAAUAUGUGGGUCACAUGCAGUACAACCAGCUCCUCUCUCUCUCGCUCUCUCGGGUCGUGACCAAAAUAGAGGGAUGUGCCAUGCCAUCAACAUGGACCGUAAGCUUACGGUGGUCAUAAGAAAUCCGUAACCCCAUCUCUCUCUAGUCAUAGUUAUAGAUAAGAGGCACCAGGGACCCUCUAAACCAUGUCACUUAGUGUGGAAAUUGAGGCUAUACCAGUUCACCACUCAAAAAUAUCUCACAACGUAUUCACACCCCCCACAAAAAGAUUCAGGAAAAUCUACUUUGUACAGGACGAUAAAGCCAAGAGCUUCUCAAUCAAACUACAGACACCAUCAAGCCCACUUCAGCCUCAGUCUCACAAGAUCCCAUUCGCUAUUUCUACUUCUUGCUGCUUCUGGUACCUUGAAAUUGGGAGGAACUACAUGCACCAAUUGGCCCCCACCAUUUAAACUCCAAUGAUGCUCGCAAGUACCCCAUGUUCUGAGGACAAACCUGAACUGUGUCGGCCACGAAACUAAUGGAAAUACAGAUUCUAACAUCCGCUUUCUUUCAUACCCUGCUUUAGGAUCAGAUAAAAGUGUAAAUCCUUUCUAACAAGGAACUGAGUUGUGUAUUGCAGCACGCAAGUGGUUGCAACUCGCUGCAGAGACAUCCAAAGCCUUCGCUCUUGCAUUUGAUUAUCUUUAUAAACAAGAAAUUGUCAUUUAUCUGCAUGAUCUAAAUAGUUUCAGAAGAUACACUGUACAUAUAUGGAAAGUCGAUCACCUUGUCCUUCGUUAUUGUCAAUCGAUGGAUGCAUUCACAAAAUAAUAUGAGCUUUCACAACUGUUAUAAAAUAUCCAGAAUGUGCAUUUCAUGUAGAUAAUAAGUGCUUGACCUUAAGUAGAUCAUUUUAUACAAAUUGAUGCAGGGCUUUACAUGAGAGGGACGAACAGCGCAUGUCACGGGCAAAAUUCUUUGUCAUUGCACUGAUCUGCAGCUUCUCAUGGUACGUUGUCCCCGGAUACCUCUUUUCCACGCUCACCAAUGUAUCAUGGGUCUGCUGGGUAUUCUCCAAUUCAGUCACCGCCCAGCAGAUUGGCUCGGGUAUGCGAGGCCUUGGACUUGGAGCCUUGACGCUCGACUGGACAACGGUGGCAUCCUUCCUGUCCAGCCCUCUAGUCUGCCCCUUCUUUGCCAUAGUCAACAUUUUUGUGGGAUACGCAUUAAUAAUCUAUGUCGUAAUGCCCAUAGCCUAUUGGGGGUUUAACCUGUAUGGUGCAAAUAGAUUCCCCAUUUUUUCCUCGCACUUGUUCACGGCGCAAGGUGAAAGGUACGAUAUAACAGCAAUUGUAAACGACAAGUUUGAGUUGGACAUUCCAAAGUACGAGGAGCAAGGCCGAAUUCAUUUAAGCAUGUUCUUUGCUCUCUUUUAUGGCUUUGGUUUUGCGACCAUUGCAUCAACAAUAACUCAUGUGACCUUCUUCUAUGGCAGGUACAUCUUUUCACCCUGAUAAGUUCAUUUAGACUUUGUCUCGAGUACUUGAUUAGGACAUCAAGCAGCAUGUGCAAAGAAAAUACCAGGGCAAGAUUGUAAAGAUCUGAAAAUGAAACCUUGAAAGAAACUGAAUUUACAGUUUCAAAUAACUUUUCUGCAAACUAAGGUGAUCCUUAUAGUUAUGACAUAGAGAUGUAAUGACUAAGAUAAUGAAAAAACUCUCAAGAAUCAGAACGGUGUUUUUUUUUUCCUUGUAAAGUAUUUGAUUUUCUUGAAUUCAUCAGACAUAUAGACAGUGAUGUACAAUUACAUUCAACAGAGAGAUCUAUGAGCGCUAUCGUGAUUCUCACAAAGGGAAGGCAGAUGUCCAUUCAAAAUUGAUGAGGCGAUACAAAGACAUACCCUCAUGGUGGUUUCACUUGUUGCUCAUUGUAAGUCUGGUGGGGUCUCUUGCUCUAUGCAUCUUCCUGAAUGAUCAGGUCCAAAUGCCAUGGUGGGGGCUUCUCUUUGGUAGCACCCUUGCAUUUGUAUUCACCCUUCCCAUUAGUAUCAUCACCGCCACAACAAAUCAGGUAUGAAUCAAGAGUUAUGGCACAUUUGUUCUUGACUUUUUUUUUACGGUCGACUAUUUAUUCUUGACAUAAUUUCUAUGUAAAAAGACAUCAUACUCAACAACGAUCUUUCUCUAUCUACAGACACCGGGACUAAAUAUAAUCACAGAAUACAUAAUGGGCAUCAUAUUGCCAGGAAGACCUAUAGCAAAUGUUUGCUUUAAAACAUAUGGAUACAUCAGCAUGGCUCAGGCUGUUUUCUUUCUCAAUGAUUUUAAGCUGGGACACUACAUGAAGAUACCUCCAAGAUCGAUGUUCUUAGUUCAGGUACUUUUUACUGCUCCUAACCAUUUGAUACCAUUUAUCAACUAUGCCAAAAGUAAGCCAACCAAACUUAAUAUAGAUCCACUGACUUAUCUAGUGCUACUGAUGCGGACAACCUACAAACAAUUACUGAUUUCCAGUAACAAAUUUUUUACCAUGAAUUUCUGGUAUCAUAUCCAUAGUAAGUAAAUUGGAUGAAAAUAGCCCAAGAAGCAAAUCAAUCAAAUUUCUUGUUUCUUUAAAACAUAUUUUUUCAUCAAACCUGAUAAAAAGGUGAGAUUGAACCGUGAUAGGAGAGUAUAAACUUGAGAACAUUUACAAAUUUACACUACUAUAGUUAAAGAGUUAAAGCUCCCCCACCUUCGGGAUAACUCUUUUUACUGUUCCAGGAAGACAAUCUUGAGUGAAGAUCUGCAUAUAAAAAACACAACUUUCUAUGUUCAAGGAUUUAAGCUAGACUUUCCCUUUUCAACAGAAUUAAGAUGAAGCAGUUGGCAUUUUAGAAGAAGCACGUUGCUUGUGGCAGCAUUAUAUAUCAUCCAAAUCAAGAUUGACAUCAUGUGCACUUGCAAAAAGGAAAUACUCACAAAGCUCAUAGACGUAAAUAACACUCAGGGUAUAGUUUGGAUCUCUUGAAAUGACAUUUACAAAAGCUAGCAAUCAAAUCUUACUAGACUUUCAAGGGUAUGACAAGAUUCUUAAGUAUCAUCCCUCUUGUUGCUAUUUAUCAAAUAAGUAUGUGUGGCAUCUAAUUAUUCCGAAACUACCUUAGUAUUCUAUUCUUGUGUCCUCACAGUUCAUAGGUACAAUUCUUGCUGGAACUAUCAACAUUGCAGUGGCAUGGUGGCUGCUGAACUCUGUAACCAACAUAUGCCAAGACGAUCUCCUUCCACCGGAUAGUCCAUGGACGUGUCCAGGUGACCGAGUUUUCUUUGAUGCAUCUGUCAUAUGGGGGUUAGUUGGACCCAGACGGAUCUUUGGAACACUUGGAAACUAUCAAGCCAUGAACUGGUUUUUCCUUGGAGGUGCAAUAGGACCUAUUAUAGUAUGGCUCCUACACAAGACGUUCCCCAAGCAAUCUUGGAUUCCUCUUAUUAAUCUUCCAGUCUUAUUAGGGGCAACAGGAAUGAUGCCAGCAGCUACACCAUUAAACUACAGUGCCUGGAUUCUAGUAGGAACAAUAUUCAAUUUCUUCAUCUUCCGGUAUCGAAAGCAGUGGUGGCAGAGAUACAACUAUGUUCUCUCAGCAGCCCUGGAUGCAGGAGUGGCAUUCAUGGCUGUGCUUUUAUACUUUGCGGUCAACAUUGAGAAUAAAAGUUUAACUUGGUGGGGAACAAAUGGAGAACAUUGUGAAUUAGCAGCAUGUCCAACAGCCAAAGGCAUAGAGGUUGAUGGUUGCCCAGUCAACUAAUGCAUGAAGCUCUUUCUAGAUGCAGAACUUACAGAAAAAAUUUAGUCACAAUCAGUGUGGUUAUAUAUGAGUUGUACAAAUAUUCCAUAAGUUUUAGGUAUCACAUUUAUAAAAAUAAAUUGGAGGAAAAUAACCAGAGAAGCAAAUUAGUUGAUUUCCUUGCUGUUUUAAAAGUGUUAAUAUGUUCAUCAAACCUGAUGAAAAAGUGACUGAACCAUGAUAGGAGAGUAUUAACUCGAGAACUCAUUUGUGAUAUUUACAAUAUACAUUACUAUAGUUAGAGAUCCCCUAUCUGUGGGGUAACUCUUUUCACUGUUCCAGAAAGACUAUUCUGAGUGAAGAACUGUCAAAUAUAAAACACAAAACUUUAUAUGUUCAAAGAUUUAAGCUAACCUUUCCAUUUUCCAACAGAACUACGAUGAAGCUGUUGGCAUUUUCGAGCAAGCAUCUCAUCGCAGCAUCAUAUAUCAUCCAAAGCAAGAUCAACAUCCUAGGCACUUACAAAAAAGAAAUACUCACCUAAAUCAUAGACGCGAGUAAAUCGUAGUGCAUAAUUUGGAUCUCCUGAAAUGACACAUUUGCUAAAGCUAGCAAUAAAAUCUUAGUAGACUUAAUUGUCAAAUAUCCACCCUCUUGUUGCUACUCAUUAAUUAAGUAAUCGUGGCAUCUAGUAAUUUCGAAACAACCUUAGUAUUCUAUCCUUGUGUCGUCACAGUUGAUAGGUACAAUUCUUGCUGGAACCGUCAACAUUGCAGUGGCAAGGUGGCUGCUGAACUCUGUCACCAACAUAUGCCAAGAUGAUCUCCUUCCCUUGGAUAGUCCCUGGACGUGUCCAAGUGACCGGGUUUUCUUUGAUGCCUCUGUCAUUUGGGGUUUGGCUGGACCUAGACGGAUCUUUGGAGCACUCGGUAACUAUCGAGAAAUAAACUGGUUUUUCCUUGGAGGUGCAAUAGGACCUAUCAUAGUAUGGCUACUACACAAGGCGUUUCCCAAGCAAUCUUGGAUUCCUCUUAUUAAUCUUCCAGUCUUAUUAGGGGCGACAGGAAUGAUGCCACCAGCUACACCAUUAAACUACAAUGCUUGGGUUCUAGUUGGAACAAUAUUCAAUUUCUUCGUCUUCCGAUAUCGAAAGCAGUGGUGGCAGAGAUACAACUAUGUCCUCUCGGCAGCCCUAGACGCGGGAACGGCAUUCAUGGCCGUGCUUUUAUACUUUUCAGUGGGCAUGGAGAAUAAAAGCAUUACUUGGUGGGGAACAAAUGGAGAACACUGUGAACUAGCAGCAUGUCCAACAGCUAAAGGCAUAGAGGUUGAUGGUUGCCCAAUCAAUUGAUGCACGAAACUCUUUCUAGAUGUACAAUCUACAAGGAAUAAAUUAGCCUUGAUCAGUGUAGUUUUAAUGAUUGUGAUUUAUCAAGAAGAUAUUCUGUUACUUGUAAGAUAAAAGAUUAUAUUAUGUGGUAAGGAAUUGUCAAGUACCCCUAUCAGUCUCUUGAAAAUACUUCUUCUCAAAUCUUGAACUCAAUAAUUCGAUUCAAUUAAGGGCGCCUUAAAAACAUUUGGUUUUGAUCAACGUUACCUUGUAAUCUUCAAACUAACUCGAAGUUCAAAGAGGAUGUGUUGGAUAUACUUAGCCAGUAUUUUGAAACACCCGUUAGCAUGAUUUGAUAUGUUUAUAUAUGUUAAAUGAUCGUAUGUAUGUAUGUAAUGUUGAUACCUAAAUUUUGAUAACCGGUUUAAUCAUAUAUUAAUUGUAUAGAAAAUUAUUGAUUAAAUUUUAAAUCCUAGCAAAAAUAACUUCAAUUAAAUUACAUGGCAUAUAGACAAUAGGAACAUUUGCAUAAGUAGUAAUAGAGACAUUUUCUUAAAAGGGAAAAAAAAGAAAAUUAAUUAAAAGAACUAUUAUUUUUUUAAAAAAACAAAAAAAAAAAAAACAAGCGAGACUGGGCCGGGGCCAGGCCGGCCCGCCGAGCCCGGCCUUCUUUCCUUUUUUUUCUUUGUCCAUUUCCUUUGGCUUGGGCCUAGCCCGGCCUCUCAUUUUUCCUCUUCCUCUCUCUCUCCUACGCUCUCUGCAGAAAUAUGACAAAGCAAGAUACAAGCCAGAGGAACAGGCGAGGCAGAGGAUCGAGCGGCAUGAUCCCAGCUUGGAGGGCUAGGCCGGUAAGGCAGCUGGCAGUGGCAGGAGCCAUGCGCGAUUGCUGGCCGAGCUUAAAAGCGAGAGAGGGAGAGUCGGCCAGAAGGGGGUGCGUUCGGGGAAAGAGAGAGAGCCGCGAGAGAGGAGGGAGACCGAGAAACAGAGAGCGAAGGGUGAGGCCAUGAGCGAAGGGCCUCCUCCGGUUGUCGCGGCGUCUGGACCUUGGCCGCCGACCCUCGCCGACGCGUGCCUCUCCCCCGCGGUAGGUCUCGAUGUGUUUCUUUUUUUUUUUUGGGGGUUGUGUCGAUUCCCGAGGAUCUCGGCUCGUAGGCGUGCGAGACGAUUGGGCGCGGCCCGAUCUGUCAAGCUUGUCCUCCAUUUGCCGCUGCCAAGCAGAGUAGGGCCGCUGCCGUUACCGACCCUGUUUUUCUCUUUACUGCGACUCCUCUGUUUGCCCCGUUUUGGGUGACGUUGGGUCGGCGAUCGCGGCCGUUCGGCUCAUGCGAGCUUCGGCCCUCGUCGCCCUUGCAUUCUCUGUUUCCAUAGUCCCCGUACGUUGUGCGUCGAGAUCUCCGGCGCGCGUUCGAGUCCCGGUUGAGCCGGAAACCUUACGAUUUGGUGGCGCACGUCAACUGUUUGUGAAAAUGCCCCAGUUUUAGUGGUAGUCUAUAAUGAGACCGAGACGGUCCUUCGACGGGCUCUCUUAUGCCGUCCUUUGUUGACGUUGAUUAUUCCCUUCCCGAUUCGUGCCGCCCUAAAAGUUUCUGCCCACAUUCUCCUUUUUUUUUUCGAUGAGCUGUCUGCAUGCUAGUGGUUAAACGGGGGGUUGUGGCCGUGGCGGUUCCUGAGUGAGUCCUCGCCGGUUUGCUUAUUGAAUUCCUUUUUAAUGCCUUGUUUGCUCCAGUUACUUGCCAACGUAUUUUUGCGAAAUCCUGAAUGGUUGAUGAACAACAGUGGCGGCUUGGUGCCGAGCCAGCGUAGGAGGAGCUCGAGUGGCUCUUGUUUGUGGAAGGUUAAAAAAAAAGAAAAAAAGGAGGUGACGGAAAAAGGGAUUAGUGUGGGUUUUAUGGCUAUGUUUGGCAUUCGGAUAAAAUUCAAUAUAUGAUAGAAUUUAUUUUAUUCUACGUUCGGUGCUUAGUCAGGAUAUGAUAAAAUUGGAUAUAAAAGAAAUAUAAACCGGAUAAAAUUAUCCGAUAAAAAAUGUAGGAUAAAUGUGAAUAUGAUUAGUAAUAUUCAUAGUAUGAAAGUUAUUUUUAUGAAAUAACAAACUUCUUAAAUUAACAAAAUUAAAACUAUAUUUCAACAUAAUUAAUAUUUGAAUUUUAAUAUAAAAAUUAAAAAAAACAAUUUAGUUAUUUUUAUUUAAUCUUAUUUUUAUUUAUAUAUUCAAAUUUAAUUAUAUUUUAUAAUAUAAAUUUAAAUAUAUAAUUAUUUUUAUUACAUAUAUUAGGUGUUUUAGUAUUUUAGGUAUAUUAGUACAAUUUACUAUUUAAAAACUUUUAUUAUAGAAUGACGGAAGGAGAAGGAAAAAAAAUGAGAGGAAAAUAAAAUAAAAAAGAAAACAAAAAUGAAGUAAGCAAGAGUGUCACGAUAGAUUUUUACUAUCUUUGUUUGUAAAAUUUUGGUUCAUUUAUAUUAAAUAAUCUAUCUAAUAUGAUGUGGUUAUAUCUGAUUUUAUUACUGCAAUCACAAAUAGCGGAUAUGACAUAACAAAAUUCUUAAAUUUUAUAUUAUAUCAUCUUCAGUCCUAUCAUAGUUAGAAAUCUGAAUAACUAAACAUGACCUAUAGGAUUAGUGUGGGUUUUAGGUUAGGAUAUGGAUUUAGUGUGGACCCGCCAAGAUUAUGGUGGACGGAAGGCUUAGGCGAGUUUAAGGAGCUUCGUGUUCCAUUUGGUCUCAUUCGAUUGGGCUUGGCACAAGUGGGCCUGAGUGUUGAUGUGCGGUUUGAUUUCAUUUUAUAAAGCUCCGGCUUCGCUUAGCUUAAAUAGUUCCAAUUGGGUUAAUUUUUUAGUAGGUUUAGUUCAUUUGGGGAGGGCCUACGGUACUGACCCAAUUUUCAUGUCCAUAGCCCGGCCCCGCGAAACUAUAUGUGUCCAUAUUCGAAUUGGGCCCUAGGGCCCAGUCCGAAUCCCUAUUUUCGGAUUUUAAAAAAAUAUUUCUUACUAAAAAUUCCAAAAAAUUUAUGAAAAAACUUAAAAAUUAGUUUUUGAAUAGUUUUCUCUUAAAAUGUGUAAUCCUUGAUAAUUAUUGUGUUCGAAAUUGGACAAGUUCUUAGGGUUUCAUGAUUUAAGUAUUCUUGAAAACAAAUGAUAGGUCAUCGUUUAUGCGUUUCCAUUUUGACUAUUAUGUGAUUACGCACUUUCAAUACGUUGAUUAUGGUUUCCCAUUAGUCUAAUUAGGAAUAGGAAUGUGAUUUGUCUUAUUUCUUAGGGUUAGAUUUUUGUUUUUCCUUUAAACUUAUUUAAUGCUUCAUUGAUUGCCGAUUGUUAGUUUAAAGAUCAUCUCACCCACAUGAUCAUCUCACAUGUUAGUGGAUAGGUUAAAAAUCAAUCCAAAUUGCCUUACACACAUUUUCUUUAAUAAACAAGAUUGAGUAUCGAAAUGGCACUAGUUAAUUAAUUAGUAGAAUUAAGUCUCUGAUCAUAGAUUUUCUAAUUGCGUAGGAAAUAAUGUAUACUCUCAUACAUCACUUAAUUUCUAAUUGAUCUCAAUGAGUUAGUGGCGACUCUUCAUUCAAAAAUUCUUAAAGAAUCCAUUUGAAUUUCGCAACAUUGCAUGAGAUAUGGAUUUGGGAGAGCCCAUAUCUAAAACGAGAGUCAUAGGCCCACCUUUAAGACAAUACUCCUAAACUUAUGUCUUUUCUCCUCCGAAUGGAAAAAGGUUGGUCGCAACACAUGUAUUUUCUGUUAUCUCAGGUGAUGUCAUAAUCUUGAAUUUAUUAGUAAUCAUAGGAGAGAUGUAACUGAUAAUUUGCUAGGAAAGUAUAAGGGCCGUCUCUUUCACAACUUAAUGAACUAUACAUGUACACAUUGCGCUUUUCCAAAAAGUUAGAUAAUUCAUUAGAUGCACUAUUAGGGGUGAGCAUCAAUUUAGGGUCCAUCUUGGAUCGACCUUGGACCGACCCAGCCCUAUCGGUCCUAGUUCGUUUCCGAGAAGAACUAGGUUAGUUCUUGAUCCUGAGAUUUGUUGACUAGCACUGUGCGGGUUGGUUUUCGGUCCUAGGAGUUUAGGAUUGGUCAAACCUUGAUCAACCUUGAUUAUAUAUUAUAUAUAAUCUAUUUAAAAUAUACUAUUUAUAUGUAUUAUAUAUCUAAUAUAUUGUAUAUAAUUUUCUAUAUAAAGAAAAUCCUAAGUCAAAUAGCGUCAACAGCAUUAAAUGACUCCUUAGUAAGGAGUCACAAUAAUUUUACAUUAUUAUUUAAUUGCUUAGACUUUUAAUGUUUUUUACGGCAUCAACAACCAUAAUUUACAAUGGAGGAAAAUGUCCUUAUGAGAAUUCCUUAUGGCAUUCAAAACGGUAUAAACAGCUCCUCAUAGUAUCUUCCUCCAGUACUCCUUACAGUAUCUUCCUCCAAUACUCAUUCUCUUAUGUUUAACUUUCCCGCUCGUCGCUCAACACUUGCCUUGCUCACUUUUGGUCGCUUGUGUCAUUCUCUGCUUGACACUUGCCUCGCUUGUUGCUCGCCGCUCACUCCACUCGCCCCCACUCGAUGCUCGCUGCUCACGCGCUCACCUCUCUUUGUUGACCUCACUCGUCAUUAAACUCAUUGGGCUUGUUCGGUCCUUGAUCGCUUUUUCAGGGAGUACACAAAAUGAAACAAAACAAUUAUUAGUUGGUUUCGGGUUAACUUUGGAACUGGAUCAAACCUAUUGAUCCAGUCCUCGGUCUUAGGCUCAAUAGGAUCGGUCAUUAGUCCCAAAAAUUAAAAACCAAUAGUGUGCAGAUUGGUCCUUGGGUUAGAGGGUGGAUUAGUCCACCUCGGACCAUGCUCACCACUAUGCACUAUACAUGAAUUCUUCCAUUUUGGGCUGUUAAACAUAUGUCAGUCUAGCAAAAGGGAAAAAAUUAAAAGUAAAAGUAAAUAUAUCUUUUUCGGGCGGGGGACUCUCAUCUGCGCAUCAUCAACAUCACAAAAGGCAAAGAGAAGUACAAUUCCAAUAGCAGCCUGCCUCAUUUCAUUGAGUUGGUGAACAUAGGAAAUUUUUUUUUUUUGGUCGGAAACAUAGGAAGUUGACUUUCACAAGUUAGCUGUGAGAUAGAGGCUAAAAGUGGAAUCUCCAGCUCUUUGAAUGGUGAUGCUUUGUGAAAAUAAUAUUAAGGACUGACUUUAUAUUUUACGGAAAUGAGGAAUUAUUAUUUAUAUAGACUAAUGAUGAAAGUGAAGUAAAUUUUCAGUACCAAUGUACCAUCCCUAGCUAGGCACUGCCAACGCAUCUCCCAAAAUAUCCUCCCGAAAAUGAAACACAAUGAUUAAAAAGUCUAACAAAAAAAGUUAACAUAUGAAGAUAACUUACAUGAAUAUAAAUAGCAUAUAUAAACUUCUUAAACAAGCAAUUCAUGAUAUCUUCACACUUUUUUUUCACGUGUGAGUUGGAUUCGGAACAAUGCGUAGAACUCAACAAAUGAAAAGUCGAGUGCACAUGAAAUAAAUCAGGGUAUAACUUGACUCUACUGUCAUGUUUGUAAAUCUAAUCCAAAAGUCUAAACAUUCAAUGAGCCAAAAAAAGGUGGAGAAAUGCAUUCUUUUCUACUGUUUGAACACACGUGCGUAUAUAUAUAUAUAUAAUAACUUCUUCAUUCUAAUAUACGACUGUAAGGAUGACACUUGCAUCAUUUGAGAAAGUUGAAAAGCAUACUAAAGUUCUUGAAUUGCCAAAGAGGACUUACUAUUCCUAGUCCAUACAAUACCAUUCAUUCUAAUGGAGGGAAUUGCUCUCUUUUUUAUUUUUAGUUUAAUUUUUAAAUUUUUUUUUUUGUUGGACUUGGAGUUGCUUCUCGCCAAAUAUCGACAAAAGCAUGGCUGGGCCAUUAUUGCAGCCACCAACGAUUUCAAUCUGUCCCUUCAAUGAGAAAAAGAAAAUCAUCGCGCUUUUGAAUUUGAUUUUCUUGACUCGUUCUUUCACGGUUUUUCACCCGCAAUUUAUAUUUUUUCAUAGUAAUGUGAAUUCGGGUUAUUGACUCAUUAUGUUCGUUUGACCAGAUAGAGAACUGCAUUUGUAAAAACAAUCGAGAACUUCGUAGACAUUAUGGGACCGGAUGAAAGAUGUAAUUUAUUUGUUCUUGCGAGGAAAAUGGUACAAAAUGGUUCUUGGAUGGUGUCGAUGUUUUUUGCAGUUAUGCUACAGUUGAAAAAUAUCGAGAACUUCAUAUAUUGGAAAAAAUUAGAUCAUAUAAAAAUGAGAAUCAUUGGAAAUAUGUUGAAAAAGAUGGGAAAAUAGACGUGUAGGUAUCUGCCUCUUAGAGUAUGAAACUCAGUAUGACAGACUUUAGCGGUUAUUCUUCCAAAAUACAAUAGACCUUGUUUAUUUCGCAUGGAAUAAUAGUAAUAACAAGAACCACUAAAUUGUAUGUAGAACCUGCUAAAAAAGAAAAGAAAAAUGGAAUGCGAGUAAAGAUUUUCAUGGGUUUGUAUAUCACUUUUCAAUAAUAUUUAGAGUAGCAAUUUGUAGGUAAAAAGAAAGAGAUGGUUGUUUUCGAUCAUGAAUUCUUGCAUUAAUUUGAAAAUCUUUACAAGUUAAUUGUGGUUAAGACUACUAAAUUUUUUUACUAAACCAUUAUUUAUAGAAUAAUGACUUUCAUUGCGGUUAUAAAUUCUAUGAAAGCUGUUAUGAUAAAAUGACAUUCAAAUUUUCAAAAAUAUCCAACAUCAUAGACAAACAAGAUAAGUCUAGCAUAAAGGAUAUCGCAAAGUAUAUAUAGAUCGACACAUAAUUGUGGAAGGGUGAUUUGAAUGCGAAUUGAUCUAUAAUUUAGUUUUUUGUGAUCGAGAAACUAGUCCUUCAAUUCUGAGUGUAAUCUCUCUUUCUCCCUCUCUCUACAAAAAUAAAAAUCUUCAAGCCACUUGAAAUGAAAUUUACCAAGUUUUAUUCAUGAGGAAAAUGACAUUAGAAGUGCUAUUAAUUUUGUACAAUGCUCAUUUUAGUACUAAAACUUUUUGAGCGAUUACUUAGUGCGACUUUUGUGAAAAACAAUUAUUUAAGUGCCAUCCCCUACAACAUCCAAAAUUUUCUAUGUUCGACAAUAAUAUUUGGGAUAUGAAGUUAAGUAUCUUGGAGUUUUGGAUAACACGUAUUAAAUCUGAGGAGUGUCAUUAAUUUUGUUAUGGAAAGUGUAAAGGAUGUGUUUUUGCCACCAUAGUCGCCUAGAGUGUAAUGCUUUAAGAUUAAAUUAAUAGAUGUUGACAUAUACAUUGAUUGAGUAGAGUGACGGUGAUUAAUGCAUUGCCACGGUAUUUGUUAAUGAGGACCAAUACGCUUUGAAAUACGUUUUGGAUGAUUUUCGAGUUUUAAAAUUUACUGAGAGAUUUUUCUAGAAUAUUUUAGCUUUCACUAAUAAUUUUAGUGGAUUUAAAAUAUUUUUCUGAUUUACUAAUGUUUGGAACGGACAAUAGUUUCUCUGGUUAUUUACUAAAAUACAAAAUAUCUUAUAAAAUAUCUUUAUCAGGCAACCAAAAUGUGUUAAUAUGAUCCAUUUUUCAAUACAUGUUUUUAACUCCAGGUCAUCAUUAUUUUAGUCUUGGUUAAUUAAUCUUAUUUCUUUAUAUCUCUUGUAUAAUUUACUAGAUACAUUCCCUUCUUGAUGAAACAAAGCACUACAGAUAUCCAAGUUUCAAUGAGGAUUCCGACUUGUUCUUGCAAAGAAAGAGGAGAAAUCUGACGUCACGUUCUCAUUCUUUCAUUUUCCACCCUUUUGCAGAAAAGCUGAAGCCCCGUUAGUGCUUCUAAAGCUUCCAAAUCGAUAUUUCAAGUGUUUACAAGGUGAAUUUUUGGACUUUCUCUUCAUUCUAUCAAACUAGAUUUGUUGCUUAAAAAGAAUGAGGAUUGUUAAUUUAUGUCCUUGAUUAUAUUGCUUUGAAGGUAAUUAAAGCUUUGAUUUACUCAAGUCAUUUAUUCAUGUAAGUGAAACUCUAGGGACUAAACUAGGUUAAUAUACUCAUUACUCUUGAUUUGGUUUUUUUGACAAUUGUCAAUUUUAGUUUGAUAGUUGAUGUUAGUAUGGAAAGUUUCGAUGAUUGUGUAUUGAAUCGCUGUGUUUGUUUGACUUCAAUCAAUGAGUCUUUCUAUGCCAAGGCCGUGAUUAAUUGAUUUUCCAUAAGAUUCAAUAGCAUAAAAAGUGUAGAUGGUAGAGUUAAACUUGAAAAGUGAUACUCUUGUAAUGCCGGCUAAGUAUUGGUUGACUCACUACAUUGCCAAUUUCGAGUUAUUGAAUGUUAAGUUACAAAUUCUCUUAGUUGUAGAAUGCCAAGUCUUAAAAUUUUUGUAACUUCUCAAUUCUCUUAGUUGUUAAUUUUGAAUUAUCAAUUAUUGAGUUGGAUGAUAUAUAGAAAUUGAUGGAUGUACCGGUCUGGAAGUCACAGGUGUACCGGUCAUGGUAUUAAUAUAAUUUGACAGAAAUUAAUGGAAGAUAGAUUUAUCACAAAUGUACCAAUUUAGGAUUUUUUGUGGUAAAAAAUUUAGUUUAGGGUAAAUUUAUUACAUGUGUACAAGUUUGGGAUUUUUGGUGGUAUUAAUCCUAAGUUUUGGCUAGGUCAUUACCACAUUGGCUAUCUUCUUUUCAUAAGAAAUGUUAAGUAAGAAUUAAAAUUUUAUUGAAAAUGCCUCCGCACUUUCAUAUCUUAGGGCGCUGAUAAUGAUCAUUUUAUUUCUAUCAAAAUCCAUUUUUCUGUUCCGAGGAACAACUUUGGUAUAAAAAAUCUAUUUAGUAACUCAAUUUAAUUUUUCUAUUUUUAGAAUAAAAAUGAGAACUUCAUCAUUGGCCUUCACUUCUAAUUGAUCCCCCACCAAUCGUUACUGCCUAUUGGCUGCUUCCCUCCACCAUCUAUUGCCAUCGCCUGCCCACCUACCCCCGUUGCCUGCCUAUGAUUUGGGAAUGAAAAAUUUUGUGUCGUUAUGAAACAUAUAUUUUUGUUUAGAAACUUGUCCAAAGAAUACAAAUAAAUAAAAAUAAUUUUUUUUUGGCCAGAAAUUAUGUCUAGAAAUAGGACGAUUAUCAUUCCCAUCUUUAAACACCCUUAUAUGACAUAGUCUCAUUCUCUCACUUAAGUAGCUUCUGUCGUGGGAUCGUCUGUCACAUUUCAGAGGUGAGAGAGUCGUUGUCUGCUGGACCAUCUGUGAGGACUGAUACCAUACAGAAUUUCUCCUUUGAUUCCCUGGAUCUUCCGCUGAGAACUCGGGUUUCGGGGUCAAGACUUUGGAUUUUCUCAAUAUUUUCUAAUUGCAUGAAAUGGAUGGGACCAUGCGCCGUAAGUGGGCCGCUACACAAAACUUUUCUAGCUCCAUUCUAUUUUUCCACAAAAGAAUAAUCUCCUUUCUGGACUCUCUUCUUCCGCGAUACCGGCGCUCAAUCAUUCACUAUCUACACUUGCAAGAACUGAAAAGUCAAGUACGUUUUAGUAUAAAACCAGACCUUCUCGACACUUCAGCACCACCACCACCCCCGCUACCCUCCUCUCGCGCUCGAGUGCACUUUCUGCCGCCCACAAUCAUGGGCACGCUGGAGCUCCAACCACCACCCACCGCCAGACCAUCCGAGCUCGACGAUGCCGUUGAUGAGGACGACCUCUCGCCCAUCGAGGAGGUCCGCCUCACCGUGACCAACACCGACGACCCCACCUUGCCUGUCUGGACCUUCCGCAUGUGGUUCUUGGGCCUCCUUUCGUGUGCCCUCCUCUCUUUCAUCAACCAGUUCUUCGCCUACCGAACUGAGCCC